rnacentral:rRNA from 1 species
GACGAACGCUGGCGGCGUGCUUAACACAUGCAAGUCGAACGGAAAGACCCUGCUUUUGUGGGGUGCUCGAGUGGCGAACGGGUGAGUAACACGUGAGUAACCUGCCCUUGACUUUGGGAUAACUUCAGGAAACUGGGGCUAAUACCGGAUAGGAGCUCCUACUGCAUGGUGGGGGUUGGAAAGUUUCGGCGGUUGGGGAUGGACUCGCGGCUUAUCAGCUUGUUGGUGGGGUAGUGGCUUACCAAGGCUUUGACGGGUAGCCGGCCGGAGAGGGUGACCGGCCACAUUGGGACUGAGAUACGGCCCAGACUCCUACGGGAGGCAGCAGUGGGGAAUAUUGAACAAUGGGCGGAAGCCUGAUGCAGCAACGCCGCGGGCGGGAUGACGGCCUUCGGGUUGUAAACCGCUUUCGCCUGUGACGAAGCGUGAGUGACGGUAAUGGGUAAAGAAGCACCGGCUAACUACGUG